rnacentral:tRNA from 1 species
UGGCUCAGAGGUUAAAGCAUCUGCCUGCAAUGCGGAAGACCUGGGUUCAAUCCCUG